GUGUGCGUGUGUGUGUGUGUGUGUGUGUGUGUGUGUGUGUGUGUGUGUGUGCGCGCAUGCAUGCACUCACACGCUC
rnacentral:pre_miRNA from 1 species